AGUCUCUCUCUAGUUCUGGAGAGAGAAGGACCAUACUGCCUGGGAGAGAAAGGUACCUGAGGUAGAGCAGUGCUGGGGAAAGGCAAGAGGAGCUCCAGCUUGGCAACUCCCCAGGCUGAGGCUUUGGAUAAGCAAAGGGAACAAAUGCCUGACCCACAGAGGACUAUGUACAUCCUCGCUGCCUUAGGACAUCUACCAGUACCGGUGUUCAGCAUGGUGAGAGAGUGGCACAACACGAUUUAAUCAGGAAUGGGAGGAAGACCAGAGUUAGUCUGAGAGGGUGAUAUCCGUCUCCUGAGGGUAACAAAGGGAGCAGAUGCUGCAAGUGUCUGGGUACAGAUCUGGCCCUCAUGCUGCUAUGCUGUGAACUGCAAUGAUGCCAGCGGAAUUAAGACUGGAGUGGCGUGGGAGAGUGAGUGGAAGAAUUUGCAGGAAAUCAGAAGAAAGCGGUAAGGAAAAGCUGUGUCUAACCCUGGGAGUAGACAGAAAUGGUGCCAUGCAGCAUGCCUCCAAACAGGAAUGGCUGCUGCUGACAUCUAAACACGUUGGAUCGAACCGCAAACCCAACGUGUAGCCCUACCCUGGGUGGAUCUUACCCACCCCUGACCGAUAGACACUUGUGCAAACGACAUUUGUAUAGCUUCUCAUGCCCAUGAAUUGUCAUUGAACAAAAGUGAAUGGAAUGCAGAGUCCUUCAUGAGUGAUUUCUCAGAAGCAGCCACCAGUAUGGGGCCCCCUGCAACAUGAUGCCGAUGGAACUGAGGUGCCAUGGAGAUGGAGGAAGGGUGAGGAAACCCUGUUCCUUAUUGGAGGCAAAUCCACAAGGGAACCUGGCAGAAUUUCCUCCCCAUGACUCAUCCUGUGAGAGAAUGAAAGGACAGGUAAUAUCUAGCACUGAUGAAGCACUGCAGGAGUUGGCCCAUCCUGUGUUGUUAAUAUUCACUGGGAAAGGUCACUGAAAUUAUACUCUGUGCAGGAGGCCCCCUCCCUGAGAGGUUGCACGGCUCUUUGCUCAGGAUUGCAGUAUGCUUGAGCCUGGCAUAAACCAAGGCUUCUGUGAUUUUUUUAUUUCUAUUUUUGGGGGCCAUUUAAUUUUUUAAAUGGUGGCAAGAGAGGAAUCUAUACAAAUAGAGCCACAGUGAAAUUGGCAUGCAAAGACAAACAGGGGGAUGGGGGAGAUUUUUUCUCCUUAAUAUCUUCUUGUGUCAUCCUGGAGCUUGCUAUUUAUCACCAGUUUCUCAGCCCAUAAGAUGAUGGGCUCUGAUCAAAUGGGGGAGAUAAGCUUGCACCAGAAGGAGAGCUAUCAACAGACCUAUUGAUUUAUCACCCUUCUGAGCUCAGGUGGGUUCCAGAGGAGGAGAAAUCUUCCCCCGCCCCACUCUUUUUCUGUUGCUGUUAGGUAACCAUCAUCUCUCUAUGGACCAUGUCUUUCAUUUCCCAUAAACACUGAAUUACUCAAUCUGGGGCUGAACUGAAAGGUAAUUUUAAAAGGAAAGAGAGGGGGAAAAAAACCUUUUGAUUGGGACAGCUUAAAUCCUCCCAUUUAUCAGGGCUCAAAUCAAGAGAUGUGUUAGAGAGGAAUGUUGCCCUGUGCCAGGGCAGCUCUCAGAGCACCUGCAACAUUAAUAUGGCCCAUUAUUAAUGCUGACUACACAAAGGGCUCAGUCCUGUAAGGUGUUGAACAAAGUGCCCUCAGCUGCCAAUGGGCAAAGGUACAUUUGCGAAGUCUACUGAGUAACUAUAGCUCAUUUCUUCAAGGAAGUGAGCAACUCCAGAAGAACAAUAGGGCUUGGAAUAGGUAAACACAGAGUAACUUUCAAGACUGAAGUUUUUGUAUAUAAGACCAACACUGUGUGUAACAAACUGACAGAACGUAUGGUAUUUGCUAUGAAAUUCUACAGGAAUAGUGAAACUUAUCAAACUGCUCUUUUUUUCUCAGGUUGUAAGCAUCAUAAACCCUUAUACCAAGACAGCUUUUGUGUGUGUUUUAAUUCCCCUCCCACACCCCUUCUACUCCUCUCCAAAAGGAUUAAAUAAUAAAUGAAAGAAAGGAAAAUAAUCAUGUAAAGGAAGAAGAGAGUCCAUGUCCAUACUAUCCUCUAGGGGGCGAGAAACCUCUCUCAUUAUUCCCAUAAACUUGCUGUUUGGUGUUCUGGUGUAAUUCCUCAUCCCUGACUCUGCGACCUUCUGAGUUCUCACAGGAAGAGAGUUCAGAAAUAGUCCUCAGCCCCCAUAAACAUAGUCAAUUUCCAGUUUAAUUCUUGCCGGGGCUUUUUCUACAUUAACAAACACAAAAUUCUGUAUCACUGUUUGAUAUCCUCAAUGCUCUGUGCAAACUGGCAUCUGUUUAAUGAUGAGAAAUAGCCCUUGUAUGGUUAUCUAGUAAUGGAGAGCUCCCCAUCUUACAAUCGGUCCCCUCUCUGGGCACUUAUGAAAGUAUUUUCUCAGAUACAGAAAAUGCCAAAAGUUGAAGACUUGUGCUGAUUUAAACAUC